rnacentral:rRNA from 1 species
UACGGGGGGAGCAAACGUUGUUCGGAAUCACUGGGCGUAAAGGGCGUGUAGGCGGCUGAAUAAGUGGGAUGUUAAAUCCCCCGGCUCAACCGGGGACCUGCAUCUCAUACUGUUCAGCUCGAGCACAUCAGAGGAGACUGGAAUUCCCGGUGUAGCAGUGAAAUGCGUAGAUAUCGAGAGGAACACCUGUGGCGAAGGCGGCUUUCUGGGCCUUACCUGACGCUGAGACGCGAAAGCGUGGGGAGCGAACCGG